rnacentral:rRNA from 1 species
CCUACGGGAUGCAGCAGUGAGGAAUAUUGGUCAAUGGGCGCGAGCCUGAACCAGCCAAGUCGCGUGAGGGAAGACGGCCCUACGGGUUGUAAACCUCUUUUGCCGGGGAGCAACGGGCGCCACGUGUGGCGCCACUGAGAGUACCCGGAGAAAAAGCAUCGGCUAACUCCGUGCCAGCAGCCGCGGUAAUAAGGAGGAGGAGAACGUUAACCGUAUUUAUUGGGUUUAAAGGGUGCGUAGGCGGAGCGUUAAGUCAGUGGUCAAAUUGAGGGGCUCAACCCCUUCCCGCCAUGGACACUGGCGCUCUUGAGUGGAAGAGAAGUAUGCGGAAUGCGUGGUGGAGCGGUGAAAUGCAUAGAUAUCACGCAGAACCCCGAUUGCGAAGGCAGCAUGCCGGCUUCCUACUGACGCUGAAGCACGAAAGCGUGGGGAUCGAACAGGAUUAGAUACCCUUGUAGUC